rnacentral:rRNA from 1 species
AGUGAACGCUGGCGGUAGGCCUAACACAUGCAAGUCGAACGGCAGCACAGGAGAGCUUGCUCUCUGGGUGGCGAGUGGCGGACGGGUGAGGAAUACAUCGGAAUCUACUCUGUCGUGGGGGAUAACGUAGGGAAACUUACGCUAAUACCGCAUACGACCUACGGGUGAAAGCAGGGGACCUUCGGGCCUUGCGCGAUUGAAUGAGCCGAUGUCGGAUUAGCUAGUUGGCGGGGUAAAGGCCCACCAAGGCGACGAUCCGUAGCUGGUCUGAGAGGAUGGUCAGCCGCACUGGAGCUGAGCCACGGUCCAGACUCCUACGGGAGGCAGCAGUGGGGGAUAUUGGAGAAUGGGCGCAAGCCUGAUCCAGCCAUACCGCGUGGGUGAAGAAGGCCUUCGGGUUGUAAAGCCCUUUUGUUGGGAAAGAAAUCCAGCUGGCUAACACCCGGUUGGGGUGACGGUACCCAAAGAAUAAGCACCGGCUAACUUCGGGGCAGCCGCCGCCGUAA